AUCGGAAAAAUGGACCACAGAUUGCAGUGAAUACGAGCACGCCGGAGUCACUUGUAAAAGAAUAAGACUUGCCACUGGACACCCUCAAGCAUUCUACGACGGCGAUUGGCGAUAUAUUUUGAGUGAGGAAGGAAAGUGGGGAUUCUCCGACGCGCUGGUUCUUUGUCGGUCGGCCGGCUACGAGGUAGUCAGCCACUCUGAUGAAAUAGAUGUAGAGCCUCAAACACUUGUUGUACAUACGGGCAUGAUGGUGUCUUGCACUGGAAAGGAGACGACGAUCUUUGAAUGUGACAUCUCGAGCUACGAGCCAACCCAGCACACAUUAGACCUAUUUCAUGCGAGUGUCGAAUGUGCACAUGUUGAAUUAAUCGGUGGACGAACAGAAAAUGAAGGGAUUCUUGUCUUACAUCUUGAACAACAUUCUGCC